ACAGUAUUAAGCAAGCAGUUUUGGAGUCCCAGAGACCCUGGGAGGAUUCAGACUUAAGGGCCUUACUGCUUUCCUCCCUGCCACUAAAAACCCACAGCAAAAGAGAAUCGCACACUCUUCUUGUUGCCUUUUUGCUCCGUAGACUAAAGGAAUCUCCUGGGGAUGAGGGAUAUCUACGGGUUGUAAGGCAUAUAGUGCUUUCUAUCAGAGAGACUACUGGAAGAGUUGAUUCUAAAAAUGCCUCCCUCUAGCAGCUUAAAGAGAACACAGCACAUUCUAAACAUUGGAGCAGUAAUGGGAAAUUUUAAAACAGACCAGUGAAAGUUCCUAUGCACAUGAGGGGAACCUGGGCACCUUUCACUGAUCAUCCCAUGUCUUUCUUAGUCCUACAACCUGAAUUGCUAGCCUUUCUGACCGGUGAAGGAAGGGGAGCAUCCAGGAGGGAAUGGAUGCGGGUUUGGGAGUGUUGUGCAGCCCACAUGGAGGCAAAUGUGAUUGGGGCUUUCCCUCAGUGCCUUUCAUCUACCAAUCACCCCAGAUACCCCUUAGGGCUGUCGGGAGGGGGUUCAAGAGAAAGGAACCUUAGGAAUACAUCUGAGUGUAGCCCAGACCAGAAUUCUGCAGUUGUUCCAAACUCCUUCCUCCACCUCCACGCAUCCCAGGCAGAUCGGGAUUAGAGACACUGUGUACUCAGGUCAAUUGCUCUCCGGGCCCAGACAGAAAAGUGGGAAGUAGUUUUGGCAGAACCCAACAUGCCUGCUCUGUAUGGAGAGCUGCCUAGGCCUGGAAACCUCUCACCUGAAUCUUGAAGAGUGGUGGCUGCACUUACUGCUUUUUGUUGGGAAAACAUAUAACGGCGGCAGCACCCCAGAAAAAAAACCCCAUCAUGGCAUCUAAUGACCCUC
rnacentral:lncRNA from 1 species